GGAAUAUUGCACAAUGGGGGGAACCCUGAUGCAGCGACGCCGCGUGGGUGAUGACGGCCUUCGGUGUAAGCCUUUGUCCACUGACGAGAACGGACGGUAGGUGGCGAAUAAGCCUCGGCUAACUACGUGCCAGCAGCCGCGGUAAAACGUAGGAGGCGAGCGUUAUCCGGAGUUACUGGGCGUAAAGCGUGCGCAGGCGGUGCCAUAAGUCAGGUGUGAAAGGUUCCGGCUCAACCGGGAAAACGCGCUUUGAGACUGUGGGACUAGAGUGGGAUAGAGGGACGUGGAAUUCCGGGUGGAGCGGUGAAAUGUGUAGAGAUCCGGAGGAACACCAGAGGCGCAAGCGGCGUCCUGGGUCCCAACUGACGCUGAGGCACGAAAGCUUGGGGAGCGAACGGGAUUAGAGACCCCGGUAGUCCAAGCCGUAAACGAUGCAGACUCGGUGUCCACUCUCGCAAGGGAGGGGGCGCCACAGCUAACGCGAUAAGUCUGCCGCCUGGGGAGUACGGUCGCAAGACUAAAAACUCAAAAGGAAUUGACGGG
rnacentral:rRNA from 1 species